rnacentral:rRNA from 1 species
AUACGGAGGGUCCGAGCGUUAUCCGGAAUCAUUGGGUUUAAAGGGUCCGUAGGCGGGAAUCUAAGUCAGUGGUGAAAUCUUGCAGCUCAACUGUAAAAUUGCCAUUGAUACUGGAUUUCUUGAAUUAGUGUGAAGUGGUUAGAAUGUGUAGUGUAGCGGUGAAAUGCAUAGAUAUUUCACAGAAUACCAAUUGCGAAGGCAGAUCACUAACACUAUAUUGACGCUCAGGGACGAAAGCGUGGGGAGCGAACAGGAUUAGAAACCCUAGUAGUCC